rnacentral:rRNA from 1 species
AGAACGAACGCUGGCGGCACGCCUAAUACAUGCAAGUCGAACGAACACUUCGGUGUUAGUGGCGCACGGGUGCGUAACGCGUGGGAAUCUGCCCUUGGGUUCGGAAUAACAGUUGGAAACGACUGCUAAUAUCGGAUGAUAUCGAAAGAUCAAAGAUUUAUCGCCCAGGGAUGAGCCCGCGUAGGAUUAGCUAGUUGGUGAGGUAAAGGCUCACCAAGGCGACGAUCCUUAGCUGGUCUGAGAGGAUGAUCAGCCACACUGGGACUGAGACACGGCCCAGACUCCGUACGGGAGCAGCAGUAGGGAAUAGUUGGACAAGU